rnacentral:rRNA from 1 species
UACGUAGGGAGCAAGCGUUGUCCGGAAUCAUUGGGCGUAAAGCGCGCGUAGGUGGCCCCAUAAGUCCGCUGUGAAAGUCAAAGGCUCAACCUUUGAAGGCCGGUGGAUACUGUGGGACUAGAGUACGGAAGAGGCGAGUGGAAUUCCUGGUGUAGCGGUGGAAUGCGUAGAUAUCAGGAGGAACACCGGUGGUGUAGACGGCUUUCUGGACCGUAACUGACGCUGAGACACGAAAGCGUGGGUAGCAAACAGG